UUUUUAGUGACGAUAAAUAACAAUGCGGGGCCCCAAGGGUCUCACAAUUGGAAUGAGUACAAUUUAAAACCCUUAACGAGUACCAAUUGGAGGGCAAGUCUGGUGCCAGCAGCCGCGGUAAUUCCAGCUCCAAUAGCGUAUAUUAAAGUUGUUGCGGUUAAAAAGCUCGUAGUUGGAUCUUGGGACAUGAAUGAUGGGUCCGGUUUUAUCCGCGUACUUAUCGUUCAGUCCUCUUGUCUGGGAAUCCUACGUGUCUUCUUGACUGAGGUGCGUGGGGCAACCCAGUACUUUUACUUUGAACAAAAUCACGUGCUCAAAGCAGGCGUACGCCUUGAAGAUAUUAGCAUGGAAUAACUUAUAGGACUUCUGUUCUAUUUUGUUGGUUACGGACUGAAGUAAUGAUUAAUAGGGACAGUUGGGGGCAUUAGUAUUUAAUAGUCAGAGGUGAAAUUCUCAGAUUUAUGAAAGACUAACUUCUGCGAAAGCAUUUGCCAAGGAUGUUUUCAUUAAUCAAGAACGAAAGUUAGGGGAUCGAAGACGAUCAGAUACCGUCGUAGUCUUAACCAUAAACUAUACCGACUAGGGAUUGGAAGAUGUUAUUUUCACGACUCCUUCAGCACCUUAUGAGAAAUCAAAGUCUUUGGGUUCCGGGGGGAGUAUGGUCGCAAGGCUGAAACUUAAAGGAAUUGACGGAAGGGCACCACCAGGGGUGGAGCCUGCGGCUUAAUUUGACCCAACACGGGAAAACUUACCAGGUCCAGACAUAGUAAGGAUUGACAGAUUGAGAGCUCUUUCUUGAUUCUAUGGGUGGUGGUGCAUGGCCGUUCUUAGUUGGUGGAGUGAUUUGUCUGCUUAAUUGCGAUAACGAACGAGACCUUAACCUACUAAAUAGUUACGCGAACAUUUCGUUCGCGGACAACUUCUUAGAGGGACUUUUGCGUGUUUUAACCAAAGGAAGUUUGAGGCAAUAACAGGUCUGUGAUGCCCUUAGAUGCUCUGGGCCGCACGCGCGCUACACUGAUGAAUUCAACGAGUUUAUAACCUUGGCCGGCAGGUCUGGGUAAUCUUUAAAAGUUCAUCGUGAUGGGGAUAGAUCCUUGUAAUUUUGGAUCUUAAACGAGGAAUCCCUAGUAAGUGCAAGUCAUCAGCUUGUGCUGAUUACGUCCCUGCCCUUUGUACACACCGCCCGUCGCUCCUACCGAUUGAACGAUCCGGCGAGGCUCUCGGACGAGCCAACAUGAGACUGGCAACA
rnacentral:rRNA from 1 species